GAGUCAGUAGGUUGGUCGUGCCACCGGUACGUACUGGUCUCACUGAUUCCUCCUUCCUGAAGAACCGUAAUGCCAUUAAUUUGGUGUUGCGGGGAAACAGGGCUGUUACUUUGAAAAAAUUAGAGUGUUUAAAGCAAGCUAACGCUUGAAUACAUUAGCAUGGAAUAAUGAAAUAGGACGAUCGAUCCUAUUUUGUUGGUUUCUAGGAUUGACGUA
rnacentral:rRNA from 1 species